ACCCUUCAGAUUCCUUACCCACUAGACCUAAACCUUGGUCCAAAUGGUUAUAAAAGUAGGAAAAGCAAAAUUGAAACUGACUUAAAUUCUUUUUGAGACCCACAAGCUAGUUUCCAACAACA